rnacentral:lncRNA from 1 species
UUUUUUUGAGAAAGAGGUAGAGCGCUACCCGCUUCAUUCAUUGAAUAGACGAAUUAGGCUAUAAAUAUGGGGCAACAAGACCCCGGAAGUGGAAAAAAAAAAAAAGGUUACAAAAUAAGGAGAGAAUCCCACUCUUUCGCUAGAAGUUUUAAUCUGUGAACCGUCAGUUCGGGAUUUAGAACUCUAGUUUUUCACACAAUUUACCAGCAACCUAUUAGAUUAGCAAGUCUGGUUCCCUUCUUUAGAAAGUCCCUUCUGCCCAUUCACCUAUCCCAUACUAGGUUCAUGUCGUCUCCCAGGUCAUGAGCGUGUAUAUCGUUCACCCCAGACACUAGGAAGAACUUACAGAAUACUCACCGGGUGAACAGAUGGUCCACUAAUUCCUUGCCUGACCCACAAAGUACACAAAUAGGGUCUUCCAACCAACCCCUCUUAACUAGUUUAUCACGUGUAAGCAUCUUUUUUUUUUAGAACCAACCAGCUGAAUACUCUAACUUUCAAGGGGAUCUUGAGGUUCCAAAUGUUGGUGGCAC